rnacentral:misc_RNA from 1 species
UAUGAUUUUUUCUAUGGUGGUUGCUGUCAUUUUAAUAAUUAGAAUGUUUUACGCAAUCGCGUAUAUACGUGCUUAUAACGGACUUAUUUCAUUCGUGCUAUCUUUUUCGUUUGCACCUUAAUAUUUAAAAACAAACCUCAACCAGUUCGAGACGCGUGUCCGUGUGUGUAUGUUUGUACGUUAUAUGCUUAGAUUUUCCAGAUGAUUCUGCGAGUUUGAGUUCCGUGAUUUCUAGAAUUGCAAUAGAAUUAUCUAACGACACUAAUGUUCUAACCCGUAUUUAAAAACCUGUCGAAGUGAACUUAACCUAAUAACGAAAUUAUUCAAGUGCAGUUAUAUACUAACUUUUGUCAAGGAUUAAUGAAGACUGAAUAAUGCCAUUGCCAAAGGCUUCCUUUGGUCUUGCCUAACCUCUUAACGUCUUGCAUCCGCAACUCAGCACACACCCAACUGAUUGAAACGGUUAUAGCGGCUUUCCUUUCGACGAAGCUGACUUUGAUAGGAGUGACGCUUCAUUCAAAUCACAUUUAGAUGACCUAGCUAAGAGGCAUCCCGAA